UAAGAAAAUAAUUCGUCCAAA
ensembl:piRNA 21ur-1102 ncRNA